GGGGCGUCCUACUACAUGCAAGUCGAAGCGAACUGAUUAAGGAAAGCUUGCUUCUAUGACGUUAGCGGCGGACGGGUGAGUAACACGUGGGCAACCUGCCUGUAAGACUGGGAUAACUUCGGGAAACCGAAGCUAAUACCGGAUAGGAUCUUCUCCUUCAUGGGAGAUGAUUGAAAGAUGGUUUCGGCUAUCACUUACAGAUGGGCCCGCGGUGCAUUAGCUAGUUGGUGAGGUAACGGCUCACCAAGGCAACGAUGCAUAGCCGACCUGAGAGGGUGAUCGGCCACACUGGGACUGAGACACGGCCCAGACUCCUACGGGAGGCAGCAGUAGGGAAUCUUCCGCAAUGGACGAAAGUCUGACGGAGCAACGCCGCGUGAGUGAUGAAGGCUUUCGGGUCGUAAAACUCUGUUGUUAGGGAAGAACAAGUACGAGAGUAACUGCUCGUACCUUGACGGUACCUAACCAGAAAGCCACGGCUAACUACGUGCCAGCAGCCGCGGUAAUACGUAGGUGGCAAGCGUUAUCCGGAAUUAUUGGGCGUAAAGCGCGCGCAGGCGGUUUCUUAAGUCUGAUGUGAAAGCCCACGGCUCAACCGUGGAGGGUCAUUGGAAACUGGGGAACUUGAGUGCAGAAGAGAAAAGCGGAAUUCCACGUGUAGCGGUGAAAUGCGUAGAGAUGUGGAGGAACACCAGUGGCGAAGGCGGCUUUUUGGUCUGUAACUGACGCUGAGGCGC
rnacentral:rRNA from 2 species